rnacentral:lncRNA from 1 species
AAACUUCAAUUUGUCAAAAUUAAUAUAUAAAAUUAUGAAAAAAUGAGAGCUGAACUAAAGAAAAAAAAUUUGCCACUUAUUAUAGCUGCUAUCUUGAAAAUCCUUAUCUACAAAUUAGCUUGGAUCUUCCUUAUUACGACUCUUCAUCUUGCAUGCUAAGGUUUGUUGAAAAGCUAAGAAGAAAACUAAGCUUCUUUCAGAAUUUCAAAUAAAUAAAUAAAUAAAUAAAUAAAUAAUACAAGAAGUGGCACAAAAUAUUCCAAAUUGGUCUAAAAUUACUCCUCUUCAAAAA